rnacentral:lncRNA from 1 species
CGACGUCGGUUCCUGGUGCCUUCUCGAACAGACACUUUUUCACUUCGUGUCUUUUGUAACUUUAUAUAUAGAUGUACCCAUCAUCAAUAAAGAUUAACUUGAUUCAUUUGUUGUCUCUCGACUUCUCUCUCGAUCUUUAUUUCAACACGUUAUCAGCCACGCUGCUCUCCAUCGAGUGAAUGGACGACGCAUUUAGUCAGUGUCGCCCGCCGGUGUCAUUUUCCGGCACC